AUGGCUCGGGAGAGGUGGUGCCAUCUGGGGAAGCAGGUGAGUGAUCAGGCAUGGGCCAGGAAUUGUUCAUGCGGGCUGCCCACCAGCCAGCCCUGGCAGAGGCGCCACUGUGAUGGCGAACCCCAGGGGCCCUGGGCAUCCCCUGCCUGGCUCCAGGUGGACAGGCCGGGCUGCAGCGGGAGGUGGGCAGCGGGAGGGUAGUGGGACAACAGUGGCCCACAGAUCAUCCCUGGGGAUGUUUACCUGAGUCACCUGUGGCCUCCCCAGGGCACAGGGGCGGCCCAGGACCCCAAGCCGGCCGGGCACUGACCCUGAGCUUCUGUUUCCAGGUCUCCGACAGAGAGAUGUGGGCUCUGAAGAAGGUAGAGCAGCUGGGGAGAGCAGGGCCUGCCUGGGUCCUGGGGGAGGGCCUGAGAGGGCGGCUCCAUCCUGGCAGGGCCGCUGAGCCAGCCAGUGUCACCAAAAUGGGACGGGGCGGAGUGGGCUCAGCGGGCUCGGAGGACAGGGCCCAUGCAACAAGCACCCCAAUCCCGAAAGCCUCCACGAGCUCAGACCUCUGUGGGGCAGGGACAGGAAACUCCCAUCUGCUGUCCUGUUUUCGUUUUUCUGGUGUUUUGGGUGGCCUUGACCUCACUGUGCAACCCAGCCUGGCCUCACACUCAGUGUGAACCUCCUGCCUCAGCCUCCAGUCCGCUGGGAUUACAAGCAGGGACCACUGCACUUGGGAGAUUUUUUGUUUGUUUCUGUUUGUUGCCGCAUUUGUGUUCGAGUGAAACGUUGUAUCUUGCUUAUUCCCAAGGAGAGGCGGAGGAGCAGUUAAGGAGACUGAACAUAAAGAAGGAUGACGAGUUCUUCCACUUCGUGCUGCUGUGCUUCGGCAUCGGGGCCCUGUUGGUGAGCUACCACUACUACGCAGACUGGUUCAUGUCCCUGGGCGUCGGCCUGCUCACCUUCGCCUCGCUGGAGACCGUGGGCAUCUACUUCGGGCUGGUGUACCGGAUCCACAGCGUGCUGCGCGGCUUCCUCCCGCUCUUCCAGAAGAUCAGACAAUUGGGUAACUUUCAUGUUUGGAGCUUCCUGUGCCCCACCCCCCCCCCGCUGCCUAGUUUUGGAGGGUGGGGGAUUGAGACGGUCUCAAUAUGUCACCCAGGCUGGCCUUGGACUCCCAACCCUCAACUUCCUGAGUGCUGGGAUUACAGGCAUGUGCCACCAUGCCCAGAGGAAUUUCUGGUUUUGUUUUUUUUUGGAAAUAGGUUAUUCUUAUGUAGUCUAGGCUGGCCUCAGAUUUGUAGCAGUUCUCCUGCCUCGGCCUCCUGAGUGCUGGGAUUACAGGCAUGUGUGCUCCUCUUCCCUGGUUCUGUUUUGAAAGAGGUUUAAUAUGUAGGAAACAUCCUGGGGGCAGGCAGGUACUUGAGUUUGGACUCUCCGUCUACCAGCUUAUGAGCUACGUGACUCUGGAAGGACUUGUGGCCGGUUUUUUUUGUUUGGUUUUGUUUUUGCAGUGCUGGGAGGGAACUCAUCCUUCUCAUAACCUCUCUGAGCCUCCUCUGUUUUAUGCCCUGGAUAACUGGUGUAGUCAAUCCCAGUACGCAGGGCAUGUGCUGGCCAAACGCUGUGGAAAGUGAAGGCCUGUGGCUCAGUCACUCACAGGAGGCUCCGUUCCCUAGCACAGUCCCUCCACGGCAGUGUUUGCCUGAUGGCUCCCUGAAGUUGGCCUUAGCAGUUUCCCUAGUGAAGACACCAAAGCACAGAGAGCUGUAGCCACUUGCCUGGGGUCGCACAGCUAGAUUGGCCGGCCUGGACUGGAGCAGGUUCUCUUUCAGCUGGGUGCGCGUUGUGCAUGCCUGAGAUCCCAGCUACUCCAGGACAGGGGUCACAAGUUCGAGGCCAGCCUGGGCACCUUAGCGAGACCCUGUCUCAAAAUAGAAUGAGAGAAAGGUUGUAGAUGUGGCUGAGUGGUACAGCGCUUGAUAGGGAAGAAAGUAGCUCCUCCUUGCUGAGCAGCAGCUCCUGUUCACCCUUAUGACUCAGACCAGAGGAGCCGGGGGCAGCGGCUCUGCGCUGGGGAAGCAUCUGCUCCUUUCAUUAAUGAAGGACUCAUUUGUCACUGUGGCUGUGGGUUGCAGAGACUCACGGUAGCUGCAGGAAGCAGCCCGCCCUGCCCAUUCUGCAGGUGCUGGGCUCGGGGGGUGGGGUGGGGACCCUGGCUGCCUUCAACCCGGCUACCCUGCACUUCGCCUUCCAGGGUUUAGGAAGACGGACUGAGGCCUCUUCUGGGUGGCAGUUGCACCGGCCCAGGUUUGACCAUAGCCUCCCUGAGGCCACAAGGACAGUGACAUUUGGGUGACACCCGGGAGGCUGAGCCACGCAAUAAAGAUGCUCUUUCCCCUUCGUGUGGUGUGACCGUUGGCGGCAGCUGGGCAGGGUUCCCAUCUGGCAGCUCGGGCUCAAGGUCCUGCUGUCGAGACGAGGCAGGUAGGGCUGGGCCUGUGCACCUGGAGCAGCAGGAAGGGCUGAGGCCGCCAGCACCACCAGGGCCUGGAGCUGAGAUCUCUCUAGGCUCCUGGCUUCUUCCAAGUCCUCAGCCAUGCUGGAACCUCUCAGGUCCUACAGAGCCACACUGCGACAGAUGGGCCAUUGUCCUGACGCAGGCACCACAUGCCGGGUCCCCGAGGUGAACCCAACGUGGGUAACGCAUUGGACAUUAAAGCCAUACAUUUGAGAGUCUUCCUGCUGCCCUGCCGGCCAGCAACAUCCCUCUUGCCCAGGACUCCAUCAAGAUGCAAAUAAACACCCUCUCUCCAAUUCUGAAGAGUCAGCUACACAUUCCUUUAGUUUCCUUGAACAUGAAAACACAGUUGAGGUCUCCCUUGAACCAUCAGGUAGGGAAGGCACUUGUCCUACAGGAUAAAGUAUAAGAGUGGAUAAAGGCUAGUGCUUCACUUUAGGUCCGAGCCUUCACUCACGAGUGGGAUAGAAGAAAGAGAUUUGUGAACAUUCUUGUGAAAAAGAUUUGGGAUGUUAGUACUCUCAGUUCAACAAACAUCAAAGGAUCGAGGUAAAGUGUGUGAGUUGGCUUUUGUUUGCUGGGACAAAUUACCUGACAUACACGAUUUAAAGGAGGAGAGGUUUAUUUGGGCUUGUGGUUUCAGAUGGGUCAGUCCAUGGCCAGCUGGCUACAAGGAGGAAUCGAGUGGUAUAAAGGAAGGGAGAGAAAAGCUGCUCACCUCAUGGCAGCCAGGAAGCAGGGAUCCAGGGAGCCAGAGAACAGAAACACCCUUCCAAAUCAUGUGACCUGCUUUCUCCAGCUGGGCCCCGCCUCCUGUUAGCCUAUUUAUCUUUUGAAUCACCGAUGGAUGGAUCCCUUGAUGAGAUUAGAGCUGUCCUGGGGCUGUUCAUCCAGUGUAAGAAACAAUUUGACCAGAGUAAGAAACACCUAGCAGAUUAGUAUGGUUCUGAAGCCAGGUGUGGUGGUAUACACCUACAAUCCCAACACUUGGGAGGCUGAAGCAGAAGGAUUGCUGCGAGUUUUCCACCAGCCUGGACUACAUAGUUUAAGGUCGGUCUGAACUACAUAGUGAGACCUUGUCUCAAAAAAUAAAAAGUAUAGUUCUGGGUAUGUCUGUGGGUGUGUCUGGAGAUGGGUGACAUGCAGGCCAGCAAACUGAGGGGGAAGACCUGCCCCCUGUGGGUGGCACCAGCCAAUAGGCUUGUAAUUCGCGUGGAGUAAAAGGGAAGAGGGAAGAAGUUUGCAAAUGUGUGAAGAGCUCCAGCCUGCCUGAGCAGUGCACCUUCUGCUGCUGUUGCCUGUGGACCUUGGACUCCACUUUCUUCAACCUCUAACCCAGACUCACACCUGCGACCCUCCAGGAGCUUCCAGGCCUUUGACCUUGGAUGGGCGCUGCAUCCUUGACUCAUCUUGUUCUGUGGCUGCCAGACUUUGGGGCUGAGCAGCUACUGUUCUUCAGUGUGCAGAUGGCCAUUGCAGAUUCUCCCACCUCAGACCCUGUACGCUACCUAAUAAAUUCCUUUACAGAAUUAUUCACAUACUUUCUUUUGAUUCUGUUCCAGUGGAGAACCUUGACCCGCACACCUCAUCCAGUCACCUUUCAGAAGCCCCAGCUCUAAUCACAUGAGACUUCAGGGGAACAUUUUAUAUCUAAUGCAUAACGUAAGGUCACAAAACAAAAUCCACCGCCUAUUUGGGUUCCAUUAAUGUAGGUAUGCAGCCUGCAGUGGAGGGGAUAGUAAUAGGUCCUACCUUACACUGGCCAGGUCA
ensembl:lincRNA